rnacentral:rRNA from 1 species
CAUCACUACGCUAGAUGCAUAUCAAUAAGCGGAGGAAAAGAAACUAACAUAGGAUUCCCUCAGUAACGGCGAGUGAAGCGGGAAGAGCUCAAAUUUGAAAUCUUCAAGGGUUUACCUUUACGAAUUGUAGUUUAAAGAAGUGUUUUCUGUUGGAUGUUUCGGUAAAAGUUCUUUGGAAUAGGACAUCAUAGAGGGUGAGAAUCCCGUAUUUGACCAGUUACUUCCAGCUGUUGUGAUACACUUUCAAAGAGUCGGAUUGUUUGGGAAUGCAGUCCAAAAUGGGUGGUAAAUUUCAUCUAAAGCUAAAUAUUGGCGAGAGACCGAUAGCGAACAAGUACCGUGAGGGAAAGAUGAAAAGAACUUUGAAAAGAGAGUUAAACAGUACGUGAAAUUGUCAAAAGGGAAGCGUUUGACACCAGUGUUGUUUUCUCGAAAAUCAAUUAAGAAGUUUGAUUUUGUAAUUGUUAUGACCUUAUCAGCUUAGCUGUACUUUUUCUUGCUAACUUUUUAAUGCACUUUUCGGUUAACAAGUCAACAUCAAUUUCUUUUGUUGUAAAAGGGUCAUUGAGGAAGGUGGCUUUCCUUUCGGAUGAAAGUGUUUAUAGCCUUUGUACUUCUAGCAAUCGGAGAGAUUGAGGUCUGCAGCGUAGAUCCUUCGGGGUUAGAUACGUAGAUGCUAAGUUAUAGCUUUGUAUAGACAACUUGUUGACUAUGAUUAAGUCAUGUAGCUUACUCGUUAGCUGCUAUUUUACCUACGCUUAGGAUGUUGACACACGCGCGUGCUCG